rnacentral:rRNA from 1 species
AACGAACGCUGGCGGCAUGCCUAACACAUGCAAGUCGAACGAAGGCUUCGGCCUUAGUGGCGCACGGGUGCGUAACGCGUGGGAAUCUGCCCUUUGGUUCGGAAUAACAGCUGGAAACGGCUGCUAAUACCGGAUGAUGACGAAAGUCCAAAGAUUUAUCGCCAGAGGAUGAGCCCGCGUUGGAUUAGGUAGUUGGUGGGGUAAAGGCCUACCAAGCCGACGAUCCAUAGCUGGUCUGAGAGGAUGAUCAGCCACACUGGGACUGAGACACGGCCCAGACUCCUACGGGAGGCAGCAGUGGGGAAUAUUGGACAAUGGGCGCAAGCCUGAUCCAGCAAUGCCGCGUGAAUGAUGAAGGCCCUAGGGUUGUAAAGCUCUUUUACCCGGGAAGAUAAUGACUGUACCGGGAGAAUAAGCCCCGGCUAACUCCGUG